rnacentral:rRNA from 1 species
UACAGAGGGUGCAAGCGUUGUUCGGAAUUAUUGGGCGUAAAGCGCGUGUAGGCGGUCCGGUAAGUCCGCUGUGAAAAGUCGGGGGGCUCAACCCUCGGAUGCCGGUGGAUACUGUCGGGCUUGAGUACGGAAGAGGCGAGUGGAAUUCCUGGUGUAGCGGUGAAAUGCGCAGAUAUCAGGAGGAACACCAAUUGCGAAGGCAGCUCGCUGGGACGUUACUGACGCUGAGACGCGAAAGCGUGGGGAGCAAACAGG